AGAGUUUGAUCCUGGCUCAGAACGAACGCUGGCGGCAGGCUUAACACAUGCAAGUCGAGCGCACUCUUUUAGAGUGAGCGGCAAACGGGUGAGUAACGCGUGGGAAUCUACCCAUCUCUACGGAAUAACACAGAGAAAUUUGUGCUAAUACCGUAUACGUCCUUAGGGAGAAAGAUUUAUCGGAGAUGGAUGAGCCCGCGUUGGAUUAGCUAGUUGGUGAGGUAACGGCUCACCAAGGCGACGAUCCAUAGCUGGUCUGAGAGGAUGAUCAGCCACACUGGGACUGAGACACGGCCCAGACUCCUACGGGAGGCAGCAGUGGGGAAUAUUGGACAAUGGGGGCAACCCUGAUCCAGCCAUGCCGCGUGAGUGAUGAAGGCCCUAGGGUUGUAAAGCUCUUUCACCGGUGAAGAUAAUGACGGUAACCGGAGAAGAAGCCCCGGCUAACUUCGUGCCAGCAGCCGCGGUAAUACGAAGGGGGCUAGCGUUGUUCGGAUUUACUGGGCGUAAAG
rnacentral:rRNA from 1 species